UACAGAGGUCCUAAGCGUUGUUCGGAUUCACUGGGCGUAAAGGGUGCGCAGGUGGUCGGGUAAGUCUGAUGUGAAAUCCCGCAGCUUAACUGCGGAAUGGCAUUGGAUACUAUUCGGCUAGAGGGUUGGAGGGGGGACUGGAAUUCUCGGUGUAGCAGUGAAAUGCGUAGAUAUCGAGAGGAACACCAGUGGCGAAGGCGAGUCCCUGGACAACUCCUGACGCUGAGGCACGAAAGCUAGGGGAGCAAACAGG
rnacentral:rRNA from 1 species